UACGUAGGGUGCGAGCGUGUCCGGAAUUAUUGGGCGUAAAGAGCUCGUAGGCGGUUUGUUGCGUCGGCUGUGAAAACCUGCGGCUUAACUGUGGGCUUGCAGUCGAUACGGGCAGACUUGAGUUCGGCAGGGGAGACUGGAAUUCCUGGUGUAGCGGUGAAAUGCGCAGAUAUCAGGAGGAACACCGGUGGCGAAGGCGGGUCUCUGGGCCGAUACUGACGCUGAGGAGCGAAAGCGUGGGGAGCGAACAGG
rnacentral:rRNA from 1 species